GUAAUCUAUAAUUAUAUAAUAUUAUUUUUCACGAAACCAAGCGAGCUAAAUUUUUUAUUAACAAUAGUUUUUAAGUUUAAUGUAGCAAUAUUAAAGGAAUAGAAAAAUUUAGGGGUGAUAGGCCUUACAAGUCUGGUGAUAUCUUGAUUAUAAGAAAAUAUAUUUAGUAUAUUAGACAACUUAAUAAUGUUAAGGUUUUUAAGGGGUAUAAUUUUAGAUAAGUUUUUUUUUGUUUAUGUAAAAAUUACAAAUUUUAAGAAGUUUAAUAUUUAUUACUAUAAAAUAUAUAGUAUACUUAUAUUUAUAAUAAAACAUAUAAUUAUAUUAGUAAUGAUUUCAUUAGUAUUUCACUAAAUCCUUCUUUAGGAAUUCGGCAAAUUUUGUUCUCGACUGUUUAACAAAAACAUUGCUUUAAGUAAAAAUUUAAAGUUAACCCUGCUCAAUGAGAAUAUUAAAUAGCCGCAGUACCUUGACUGUGCAAAGGUAGCAUAAUCAGUUGGCUUAUAAUUGAAGUCUAGUAUGAAUGGGAACUAGGGGAUAAGCUGUCUUAAAAGGGUAACUAAAACUUACUAAUUAAGUGAAAAUUCUUAAAAAUAGAAAAAAGACGAGAAGACCCUAGAAAUUUUUUAUAUAUGUUUUUUAAGUAUUUUGUUGGGGCGACAUGGUAACAAUAUUUAACUUACCAAAUGGUAUAUGAAAUUUAUUAAUAAAGUAACCAAAUUACUCUAGGGAUAACAGCAUAAUUUUAAAUAGAUUGUGACCUCGAUGUUGGACUAGGGAAUAUCCUAUUUAGAAGGUAGGAUAGUUGGCUCUGUGCGAGCUAUAUUACCUACAUGAUCUGAGUUCAGACCGG
rnacentral:rRNA from 1 species